AGGUCUAUUUGGCUUCCUCCAAUGUGUCUCUAUUGAGUUGCCAGCAGGUCUUUAGUUAGUGUUUUUCCAUCUUUUUCCACCUUCAGUCUGUUCAGAGGUUCAGAGUGACCAGAGUGCUCCGCUGUUGUAACCAAUUUGUUGUCAAGUCCAGAAGGAGUUGAAGAAAAUAAAGUGAAAAUCCAUUCAAGAAAAAUAAUCAAAGGAUUUGGACGAAACAGGUUGGAUGUACUUCCCGGUUAGUGGAUUACAACAGGAGAGAAAAGUGCCUGUGCUUGCAAAACAAUUACUCUGAUCCUCCAAUUGUUUAUGUGUUAUAAAGCAAGGAAGUGUGUGAUUGCCUGAUGGUCACCAGUGUUUCUUGCAUGGUAGCUGUUCACCUGCUG
rnacentral:lncRNA from 14 species